rnacentral:rRNA from 1 species
CCUACGGGAGGCAGCAGUGGGGAAUAUUGCACAAUGGGGGAAACCCUGAUGCAGCGACGCCGCGUGAGCGAUGAAGUAUUUCGGUAUGUAAAGCUCUAUCAGCCGGGAAGAAAAUGACGGUACCUGACUAAGAAGCCCCGGCUAACUACGUGCCAGCAGCCGCGGUAAUCCGUCAGGGGCAAGCGUUAUCCGGAUUUACUGGGUGUAAAGGGAGCGUAGACGGUCGUGCAAGUCAGAGGUGAAAGCCCGGGGCUCAACACCGGGACUGCAUUUGAAACUGUCCGGCUAGAGUGAAGGAGAGGUAAGCGGAAUUCCUAGUGUAGCGGUGAAAUGCGUAGAGAUUAGGAGGAACACCAGUGGCGAAGGCGGCUUACUGGACGAUGACUGACGUUGAGGCUCGAAAGCGUGGGGAGCAAACAGGAUUAGAUACCCCUGUAGUC